rnacentral:rRNA from 1 species
GUAGGGGGCGAGCGUUGUCCGGAUUUAUUGGGCGUAAAGAGCUCGUAGGCGGCUCGGUAAGUCAACUGUGAAAGCUCCGGGCUCAACUCGGAGAGGCCAGUUGAUACUGCUGUGGCUAGAGUCCGGUAGGGGAGCGUGGAAUUCCUGGUGUAGCGGUGAAAUGCGCAGAUAUCAGGAGGAACACCAGCGGCGAAGGCGGCGCUCUGGGCCGGAACUGACGCUGAGGAGCGAAAGCGUGGGUAGCAAACAGGAUUAGAUACCCUGGUAGUCCACGCCGUAAACGUUGGGCACUAGGUGUGGGUCUCAACCAACGAGAUCCGUGCCGUAGCUAACGCACUAAGUGCCCCGCCUGGGGAGUACGGCCGCAAGGCUAAA